rnacentral:rRNA from 1 species
AAAGUCUGGCCUGCCCUAUGAAUAUAUUUUAAAUGGCCGCGGUAUUUUGACCGUGCAAAGGUAGCAUAAUAAUUAGUUUUUUAAUUGAGAACUGGUAUGAAAGGUUUGACGAGGGAGAGACUGUCUCAAUUUAAUUUAAAUUAGAAUUUUAUUUUUAAGUAAAAAAGCUUAAAUGAUUUUAAAAGACGAGAAGACCCUAUAGAAUUUUAUAUUUAUAUAUAUAUUUAAAAGUUUUAGUAUUUUAGAUUUAAAUAUAUGUAUACAUAUUUAGUUGGGGCAACUAAAAAAUUAAAGUAACUUUUUUUAUAUAAAAACAUUGAUUUAUGAGUAAGUGAGCCA